AUUCCAGACAACUGCUGGAACGCUGCAUACAAAGCAAACAUAUUUGAACUGUGCAUGGAUCAGUGUCGACCAUCGUGCGAGGACAUCGCUUACGACAGCCGUGUCACGGGUAUACGGCCUAUUGCGAAAUCCAAUGGGUCUAAGGAGUAAGUGCAC